ACAGAAUGUAGCUUAAUUAAAGCUUCUUGCUUACACCGAGACUAUGCCUGUUAAUCCCAGGUCAUCCUG
rnacentral:tRNA from 2 species